CUCGAGAUAGCACGAGUAUGAAAAAAGAGAAAACGAAUAAAAAGUCGACAGAACAGCUUUUCUUUUCGAUGCAGGUGCUCCGCCGUUAAUCGUUCAUUUUCGUGGAUGAUCACUCGAACGCGUACGUACUACUUAUCCACCAGGUGAGGCUCGCCUCGUUUAAUCGUUUAAUCGAUGCCGCAUUCUUAAGUGAGGUGUCUCUAGCCGAACACGAGAACAAUAGUACCAACUCUUAACUUUUCAUCGGGACCAUCGAUUGAAAUCUCGACGUGCAUCGGUCGGCCGAUAUUAUGCAUCGUAUGACAAUAGAGGUUAGGCCGUCAAUUCGGCGAUAAAAAUCGAAAGAACCGUUCGACGAGCUGACGUGAGUUAAACUACAUACAGUGCUCGUAUUAUAAAAGUAUUCGAAUACUACUGAGUAUACGUAUCACCUGUGUUACAUUGAACUUUUUCAUAUUUCAUAUUCGACGCUGCAACGAGACGUGACUAUUGUUGAUUGUAUUGGCACUUGAAAAAGUAAUCUGAAAAUGUAUGUUGCAGAUAUCUCCUCGAUUCUUUGACGACAACGAUAACUGAGGCAGCAAUAGAAAUAGCGGAACAAAAGAUGGAUUCAUCGCUGGCGAUCAAGUUAUCAUUUGGGUGGUGAAAACGGUGCAAUUUAAAGGAGAGCUUUUGUUUCAUUUGGCCGGCCGUGAUGAAUAUCCUAUAUUUUCCCUGACAAUUUAAAUGCACGAUGCAUUUGUAGGAAAGGAUAGGAGGAUACCCGUCCCUCUGCCAGAACGCCCGUAUUAGUUGGAAUUCUGCCAGAUGGAAAAUCGAAGCUGGUCUUUGCGUGGCGCGGCGAGAUCCUGCCGGGAGUCAAAUUCGACGGGACAAUAACUCAAGUUAAGAAUUAAGAGCAACCGGACUGCCAGGCUGAAAAAAAAGAAGAAGAAGAAGAAAAGAAAAAAAGCAGGGAGCAAGAAACGAAGCUGCGCGGCUUUUUUCACCACGAUGACCUAAAUGACCGCGAUGUUCCUCGUGGUGAUAGCGUAUAUGUGUGUAUGUGUGUGUGUGUGUGUGUUUCUACCGUGAUUUUGAUCCCUUCAUAAAUAUUACAUAAGCGACAGCGGAGUGCUCGUGCAAAGUAGAACUGAAUAUAAUGCGCAUCACGUUAAAUGAGUUAUGAUAUCGAUUCAUAAUCAAUACGAUGUAUUGGACGAUUCUCUUGUGUACAAACACAACGCAAGAAGAAUGAAACUCGUGUCGUAAUUCUUUCAUAUUCAGCGCAAGCUUCGAAUCACGAAUCAUAGCAAACGCAAAUGUUUGCCACAACUGUAAAGUGCCCAUGCGUAAGCAGAAAGCAUAAGCUCUGUGUUUCUCUUCCCCCUGUGCAUUAACGAAUCACGUCGGGGGGAGUUAAUUGACGAUUGUAAAUCCUCCGGCACGGCGUUUUGAAAUUACUGCACAAGGGGCAGACAUAGGAGUGGAAUCAAUUAAAAGUCUCGCCGUAUUUACAUUGUUUCGAGCUGUUCUUUGUUCGCCUUGCAAAUCGCCUGGCUUCCGUGUUAAUUGAUCUCCCGGUUAUUGUAACUCGGUCGGUUGAGUCCGAAGGAUUGUUCAUUGUGCGCCGCGGGUGAAAAGCGAAAGAGAAGAGGCAGGUGAAAGAUACGGUGUAACGAGUGCGACAGGUUUUACAAUAGUAGGACCGAUUGAUCGUACCAGAGCCAUAAUUCACUCUACCUGUCGACACUUUUCACGUGAAGAAGGCACCUUUGCUAAUUUAACACGGUUGCGUACGCGUGCAAGCGAGCAGCAAUAACAGCCGAUCCAGUUGGUACGCGAACCGCACGUAACGUACAGGCUCGCUCGCUAUCGGUACUAUCCGGUAUUCGACUCGAUUGGCAGGAGGGUGCGCCGUAUGAAAACUGUCCCGUUGUCUUCGGUUGCGAGAAGCGUUGCCAGAAUCUAGGGGCACUCGCCGCUAGGGUGGGGAGGAAAUGAGCGAUGGUGGGGGUAGUGACGCCGUGGAGGGGGAAAGUAAGGCGCGUGCACGGACAGUAGAACCCGUUGAAUAACGGAAGGCUUUACCACGGUUAAGGACGACAAGGUAAAAGAUGUAUAAAAAUACUCGAAAUGGAUAAUCUCUAGGAAUUUAACACGAUUAGCCGGUGAUUAUUUGACAAAUGGCUGACUGUUCUACAUAACUGCGUCUACGAGCGAUCGAUGAUCGUAGCUUGUAGGUAAAUUGAUUGUUACGAUACUCAAUGUUACAGUGCUCGCAUUCAAGGUGCCGUAUUGAUGAUCCGAAUAACGAUCAAUUCUAUCGAGAGGUGCAAUCACACGGGUCGAGUACGAUUGACAUGGUCAUAAAGAGAUUUUCAAGAUCACGGAUCAGACGUUUGUUAAUACGCAAAUUUGCAACAGAACAGUAGCGGCAGUGUAGAGAACAACACCACGGCGCAGUCGCCGCUCGAUAAAGCCGUGCUCUUGCUCUUCUUUUACGUUCUUCUUCUAAUACUCUCCUCCUCAGCCGCAUGAUACACCUAUGAACCACGACCCUGCCCCACAAACUGGAAACCUGGUUGACUGAAACUUCUUGGACAGCUCGGUACACAUGCACAUAAGCACUUUAACUAGAGUAUAUACUAGCUUUGUAACGAAAUGCUAGUAACCCUGGACUAGUCGCUAACCUACGUUAAUCUAUCUGCGUGUAUCUAUAUGCGCACCUACAGUCAGCAUAUACAUACGUACUUGUUAUUCAACAAAUUGAUUAUUUCUUUAGAUUAAGUAUUGCUCUUUGUUGGAUUUAAAAUUUUUAGCAUUUUUUAUUAGUUACAAUUAUUUUCACGAACGCACACAAGCAGCUUUGAAACUUUCUUUUAAUUUUGAGACUGAAUACUCGUACUCGCGUUCCUUUGUACAACGAGAAAGAAAAAGUAAUUAACUUUUGCUAGAAACCUAAGUCAUCGCGAGCUUGAGAGAAAUUUCGUUUUCAAUUCAGUCAAAAAGGAAUUUGUAUAGUCCUACAUGUGGUAGGAAAUAGGGCGGAAGAAUCUUCUGUUCUUUUUUCUCCCGCGUUUCUUAUCCAGUGCUAUUACAGGCACGGAGAUCCACUUUAGUCUCUAAAUAAGUAUACUCCAGUUCUUUUCCUUGCCGGUUUCUCGGUCGUAUUUUCUUUUUCUUUUUUUCUGUUUUUUUUUUUUUUUUUUUUAAGAGAC